rnacentral:rRNA from 1 species
CCUACGGGAGGCUGCAGUGAGGAAUAUUGGUCAAUGGUCGCGAGCCUGAACCAGCCAAGUAGCGUGAAGGAUGACGGCCCUACGUGUUGUAAACUUCUUUUAUAAGGGAAUAAAGUGAGGCACGUGUGCCUUUUUGUAUGUAUCUGAUGAAUAAGCAUCGGCUAACUCCGUGCCAGCAGCCGCGGUAAUACGGAGGAUUCGAGCGUUAUCCGGAUUUAUUGGGUUUAAAGGGUGCGUAGAUGGGCUUUUAAGUCAGUUGUGAAAGUUUGGCGCUCAACCGUAGCAGUGCCUUUGAUACUGGGAGCCUUGAGGACCGUAGAGGUAGGCGGAAUUCGUGGUGUAGCGGUGAAAUGCUUAGAUAUCACGAAGAACUCCGAUUGCGAAGGCAGCCUACUGGACUGCCACUGACGUUGAUGCACGAAAGUGUGGGUAUCGAACAGGAUUAGAUACCCCUGUAGUC